GCGCCUAUAGCUCAGCUGGAUAGAGCGAAGGAUUGCGGAUCCUUAGGCCACAGGUUCGACUCCUGUUAGGCGCA
rfam:Spirochaetes bacterium GWF1_51_8 gwf1_scaffold_2062, whole genome shotgun sequence.